rnacentral:rRNA from 1 species
GUGGGGAAUAUUGGUCAAUGGUCGGAAGACUGAACCAGCCAUGCCGCGUGCAGGAAGACGGUCCUAUGGAUUGUAAACUGCUUUUAUUCGGGGAUAAACCUCCUUACGUGUAGGGAGCUGAAGGUACCGAAAGAAUAAGCACCGGCUAACUCCGUGCCAGCAGCCGCGGUAAUACGGAGGGUGCAAGCGUUAUCCGGAAUCAUUGGGUUUAAAGGGUCCGCAGGCGGGAUUGUAAGUCAGUGGUGAAAUCCGGCAGCUCAACUGUCGCACUGCCAUUGAUACUGCAGUCCUUGAAUUCGAUUGGAGUGGGCGGAAUAUGUCAUGUAGCGGUGAAAUGCUUAGAUAUGACAUAGAACACCGAUAGCGAAGGCAGCUCACUAAGUCUGAAUUGACGCUCAUGGACGAAAGCGCGGGUAGCAAACAGGAUUAGAAACCCCAGUAGUCC